rnacentral:rRNA from 1 species
UACGUAGGGGGCAAGCGUUGUCCGGAAUUAUUGGGCGUAAAGAGCGUGUAGGCGGUCCGGUAAGUCAGCUGUGAAAGUCAAGGGCUCAACCCUUGAAAGCCGGUUGAUACUGUCGGGCUAGAGUCCGGAAGAGGCGAGUGGAAUUCCCGGUGUAGCGGUGAAAUGCGCAGAUAUCGGGAGGAACACCAAUGGCGAAGGCAGCUCGCUGGGACGGUACUGACGCUGAGGCGCGAAAGCCAGGGGAGCGAACGGG